GAACAAGAUGACUUUGCACUGCAAUUAAGAAUGGAAGAGCCAGAAAACUGCGGUCUGAUCCAUCAAAAAUCCACAGAUAGUCAAGAACUGAGUCCUUCCAUUACGUAGAAGUCUCAACAGAAUGGGAAAGGAUGCCUGAACGACCCCCUGCCCUCGAAAGGCCACUUCUACCUCAUUUCCUCAUGACUCUAUGGACUGGAUUUCUCUCGUCACCUUGGAGACACUGAGGAGUGAAAAAACACUGGGCACCAUGACAAAGCCUUGCAGGGAGGGGGGAACUGAGGUGUCAAGAAUGUUCUCUGGAAACUGAGAUCCAUGGAAUUAGUGGGCAUUAAAUAGAGAGGAAGGUGUGGAUGGCAGACAGAAUAAUAUUUGGUCAAAGACAAUGUGAGCAGGGAGCUGAGCGAGUCAAAGAGCUGCCUGAGACUACAGCAAUGACCAGUGAAAGGAGCACAAGGCAAAACCGAGGAGUUGAAUCCUGUAAGUGUGGAGAACUUUGAUCUCCACCCACAGAUCAUGGAGAAGCCAUAAAAGGCAUUAUGCAAGUGUGGCUUACUGCUACUUCCCGUGGCUGGGGACUCAACUUCGCGACUUAGCUGUGAUGAGCAGUGGAGGCAUGGCAUUUUCAAGACUACCCACUACAAGGGCCCUGCUGCUGUCUCCUUGCUCUUCUAGUCUGGAAUCACUGGCUGUGGGAGGAGCCAGUGCUCAAGUUGUAGGACACUCAGCUCUACACAGAGCUCCACAAGGCGAGGAAGUAGAGCUUCCUGUGUCGGAGCAGAAGCCUCCUCCCAGCCACCAUCUUGGAAGUGACUUCCCCAGCCCUUGAAUAACAGCUACCCUGCUGACUGCUUGACUGCUAUCCCAGAAGAAACUCAAGCCAGGGCUUAAAGCUAAGUGUCUCUUGAAUUCUUGACACAUGGAGACAAUCAAUAAAUGCUUACUGUUUUAGGCUGCUAA